GUCCCUGCAAGUGAACGAUAGCCGAUGAUCUGAGCUGGCAUUUCAACAUACCCAUCAUCAUCAUCACAAUCUACACGCCUCGUCGGAAUAAACUCGAUAUUCCAGUAAGGAAGAUUAAUCGGAACACCCUCCUCCCUACCCCAUUCGCGCGGAAUCGGAACCAAUCGCACCCUCGCGGAACCUCUGCUCGCGGAAUCGGAACCCAUCGCUCCCUCGCGGAACCUCUGCUCGCGCGGAAUCGGAACCCAUCGCUCCCUCGCGGAACCUCUGCUCGCGCGGAAUCGGAACCAAUCGCACCCUCGCGGAACCUCUGCUCGCGAGAUUUCCGAAAUCCAAACGCGAGGAAUUGACGACCGUCCACGUCGAGUUCCGAGAUUUUGAUGAACGGCAGGAUUGGGUGGCCGCACAGGUGACCGUUCCGGCUGGUGGCCGUUCCAGAAGUCUGCCCUAUAUAUAUAUAUAAAUUGAAUUGAAUUGAAUUGAAUAAGAUUAAUUAAUUAAUUUCCAUGAACUUUGUAAAAAAUAUUCGAUAGAGAUGGAAAUGGAAAUGAUUCAGGUUUGCUUCAACCCAAACCUUCAAAAUUCAGGUUGAGGAUUUAAAUAAAAUUAGGGUUUUAUAUAUACUAGGGUUGUUAAUACUUGUCUUGGGCACAAAGGAAGAAAAUCCCCGUCAGAAUUGUCAGUCGAAAUCCCGAAUUCUUACUCAGCUUUUAGGCCUUAGGAGUUAGCCAGUCCAUUUUAAGUUUACUGAGUAGUGAUUUAAUGUAAAAAAUUAGAAAUUAGGGAUUUAGGUUUAGAGUUAGGGUAAAAAUAAAAAUCAGGAUCCUUCUGCAUUCUGCAGUUCUGCUUCAAUCUGGAACCUUAGGAGUUAGCCGGCGUUUCUUUUUUUUCUUAUGCUGCUUCCUUUUGUCUCUUGGCGAUUUUCAGACCUUCUUGGCGAUUUCUCUUCCUGCCUACCUUCUUUGGUCACUGAUUUGGGGUACAAUAUUUUCUUUUGUUGGAGUUCGAUUCCUCUUUAUUGAUGUUCAGUACUAGAAUCUAUGCCCUGCAUUUUUUAUUAAAUCUAUACCCUGCGUUAAAUUAUAUUGCUGCACAAUGUACAUACUUAUCUAUCUAGAUGUUUCUUUUAUUUUUUAUUUUCAGAUUUAUAUAAACUUUAUAUUGCAAUUUUUUAUUUUUUUAUUUUUUUAAAUUUUAAAAAUUUAUAUUUUGCAGGUAGUUAGGGGUGAGUCGCGCAGAUUCACCUCGUUCCGCGUCCCGAUCAUCGGGUCCAGGAUAGGAACUGAGAAGGACUAAGAGCUUGCAAACAGUAGCUAGAUCUCAUAGUAGUUUUAUUCGUGUUUAUGCCGAAAAGCUCAGAAAGCCAUUAACAUGGUACUUAUAACCUAGUUUACUUAUAAUAUGAUUUUGUUACUUCUAACCAUAGAUGAAAAAGCGACGCUUAAAGCGUCGCUUUAAUAGCUUAAAGCGUCGCUUUAAUAGCUUAAAGCAGAAAAGCGCUUCUGGAGGAGCGCUUUCCAAAUCGUUUUUUUAAGCGGGUAAGUGGGUCGGGUUGGGUUAGUGGGUUUCUACCCAUCACCGGUAGAAUUCCACAGCAAAUUUACACAAAAAACUGAUGUUGUUCAUCUAUGUGUAAUAACAUUUAUUACACAUAAAUGUUUAAUGGUAAACGUGUAAUAUAAAUGUUAUUAUACAUAAAUGUUUACUGGUAAAUGUGUAAUAUAAAUGUACAUAAAUGUUUACUGGUAAAUGUGUAAUAUAAAUGUCAUUACACGUUUACAGGUAAACACUUAUGUAAUAUAAAUGUCAUUACACGUUUACAGGUAAACAUUUAUGUGUAAUAUAAAUGUUAUCACACAUAAAUGUUUACUGAUAAACGUGUAAUAUAAAUUUAUAACAGGGAUAUAUAUUUGAAAAAAAAAUUUAUAGGAUUAAAAAAAAAUAAUACAGAGAUAUAUAUGCAAUUUUCGAAAAAAUUGCAAAUAUUUACGAAAUUGCCAUUUUCUAAAGCGCUCAAAGUUAAAAAAGCGCUCCCUGGAAAAUGGGAGCGCUUUACUGCUUUUUGAACUAUACUUUUUUUUUCUUAUAGCUGUCAUAUCUUCACGUUCAUCUCGGUAAACUCAAAUAUGCCAAAAAUUUCUAAGCUAUAAGAUGCAAAGGACCUUUAAUUUAAUUUUUGUAAACACGUAUUUGUAACGAGAAAUCAACUUUCCUUCAACAUAUUACUGAUAAGAUCACUUUAAUCAAGUCAAAUUAUCAUAUCUUUGCUGAUUUGGACGUGUAUAAGCUAUUGGUUGGGUACACCAAGAAAAAAAAAAGAUUAUGAAGAAUUCCUAGAUAUUAUCCAAGUGAAUAUGUUGAAAAAGCGCUUAACUCAUUCCAAACUUAUUGGGGAUUAUAUUACAACUAAGGAAGAGUGAGAUGUAUAUAAGAAGAAUCUAGAAGAUGCAGAUAUCCAGAAUCGUACUCUCACCUCCUCAGUCAUCUAGCUCAAGCUCAGGUUAAUUAACACAUUGAAUAAUAUUUGCAAAAAGCUAACUGCGUAAGUUGAAACUACUACUAUCAAGGUAUCGUUGUUAGCUCAACUCGAUAUUGUUCAUUUUAGAAAUACUGUCUUUCUAGGUUUUCUAACAAAUGACAUAGUUGACCGGAUUUAUGCUAAUCUGGAACGGGUAGCAGAGAUGUGUGCAUAGUAUCUUGUAUUUCAUGAGAGGAAUGUGUUAGUUCAGUCUGAUAGAGAGGAUGGUAAUGGAGUAGAAAUCCGAAAUGUGAAUGGAGGAGGUCGAAAAGAAAAGUGUUGUGAGAUCUCUCUUCAAAAAAGGAUUAGGAUUUUGUAUUUAUGAUAAGUUGAAUUUUUUUCAUUUUUCCUUCUUUUAUCGAACCAUCUUUUAUAUUUGGAGUUCUUCUGUUUAAGAGGAUUUUCAUUGCUAGCUAUUCUGGAUACCUUACCUGAUGGAAAUGAUCUUUUUUUAGUAUGAAAAAAAAGCUUCCCUUUUAGCUCCUUACUAUGAAAACCCUCUGCUUAUUCCUAAGAUAUUCAUAUUUACUUUUAGCUUGCAGAGUGCAACUUAAAUGAUGUAGAUUCUACUUUUCAAAGAUGGGUUUCUAAUAAGACCUUAUAUAUCCCUUGUAGAUGAUUCCAAAAGUAUGAGUAUUUCAACUACGUACUUCCGACCUUUCAAGAUCGUGAGUGUUCAUGCACCACGAUCGAGCAUAGUGAUCAACAUCUAUUUUCCAUAGAAAAAGUUAGCCCCUAACAUUAUUUCCCCUCAUGGUACUAUACUUGAUGUGGUCGAGGUAGUAAUGUUAUUUUCAGGCUGAUCAGACCCUCCUACUAAUAGCUCUUAGUUUAAUAUAAAUAGGUCCAACGUACUAAGACACUGAUUCGGACUUCAAUAUUUUUCUAGCAUGUCUUCUCUAAUCUGACAAUGAGAGAAGAAACGGAUGAUACUAGGUCCCAUAUAAGAAGUACAAUCUUAGAAUAGGUCCUCAGACGCACUUAGACAGACUGAGACCUUGGAAGCUCGAGAAUGAUUGGAAAGUUCGACUUUUCUUGAAAAAAGUGUUCGACUUUUGCUUGGAGAAAGUCGAUCUUCAAAAAAGUCGAUACCUAGUGCACUUGGAUGAUUCCUUGGAAGUCGUAGCCUGAAAGCCUAGCUCCUUGAGGAAUCGACUUUUUUUUUUCUUAGGAGAAAAAGUCGAUCUUCUGAAAAGUCGAUCCCUUGCUGGCUGAUCUCCUCGCAAGACUACCUAGCUGGCGACUUGGAAAAAAGUCGAUCACUUUUUUCGAAAAAGUCAAGGAGCUUUUGUCGUGAGUAUCUUUGAAUCACAGACGGCGCCAACUGAUGGGGGUGAAACCCGACCAGUACUCCAAGACGCGCAAGCAAGCGCCAAGCGGGGAACUCCGCGGGAAACCGGACCGGAACUCAAGUGCGCAGAGCUCUGCUUCGCUAGGAAUCCUUUCGCUCCAAAUGACCUGCCUUUAAUGAGUGGGGGGUGCCCUCUAUUUAUAGGGGUUCUUAUGGGGGUAAUAUGGUCAUUUUGGCAGUAACCGCCUAACUGCCAAACUGAUCAGAUUGGGUCCCGGGAUCGACUUUCCAGAGAUCGACUUUCUGGGGGUCGACUUUCCUGGGAUCGACUUUAUUCAGAAGGCGAUCCCAGAGAAGUCGAUCCUCAGGAAAGUCGAUCUUCCUAGGAUUCGACCUGGGACCUCCCCAACCCUAGAAUAGAUACCUUAACUCAUCUUAGGCUAUCCGGACUUCUAGUUGCUGGUAGGUAGUGACCGUGUUCGGGAUACUGUAUCACCAGUACUCCCCCCUCCUCUGCGUAUUAGAUACUUUGGGAUACGUCUUUUAGUACUAUGGUCUGUGUGUUGGACCUUGUACUAUCAGUAUUCCCCCCUCUUUGCGUGCUGGGAUGUGGAUUUUUGGUGAUGUCCCAGGAUGCGAGAUCCUCUCUUACCAGUAUUCCCCCCCUCUCUACGCCUGCGAGGUUGUAUCUAUGCUUCCACGGAGGUUGUCACGCGCUUUUGCCAACUAUUGUCCGGUUUGUCCUAGCCGAAGCAUACUCCUUGCGCCCCUGUCUGGCCUGAUUUUCCCGCGGAACCCUGCUUUCCCACCUUGACGCCUUGCCUGAGCUAUCUUUGAGCACUGUUUGGGUUCUCUUCCCUGUGGCGGGUUUUGAGAGUACCCGACCCCCUCCUUUUGCUCGCCUUUCUGCGACAGGGGUUGAGUGCGAUCCCUCGUCUACCUGCGUUCAUCCGUAGGUGAGGGUUAUUUUUUGAAUACUUGCCCCCUCCUUUUGCUCGCCUUUCUGCGACUGAGGUUUGGGCGCGAUCCCUCGUCUACCUACGUUUAUCCGUAGGUGAGGAUUAUUAUUUGAAUACUUGCCCCCUCCUUUUGCUCGCCUUUCUGCGAUAGGUUUGGGCGUGAUCCCUCGUCUACCUACGUUCAUCCGUAGGUGAGGAUUAUUAUUUGAGCUUAUCCCUCGUCUAACCUACGUUCUUCCGUAGGUGAGGUUUGCUCUUGAGUACGUCCCUCGUCUAACCUACGUUCUUCCGUAGUUGAGGUUCACUCUUGAACACUUGCCCCUCUGUCUACGUUUUUUGUAGAACGGGGUGUGUGUUUAGCCGAUGCGUCCCCCGUCUAACCUACGUUCUUUCGUAGGUGGGGUUUGCUUUUGAGUACAUCCCUCGUCUAACCUACGUUUCCGUAGGUGAGGUUCACUCUUGAGUACAUCCCUCGUUUAUCCUACGUUCUUCCGUAGGUGAGGUUUACGUGGGCUUUCCGGCCCACCGGGUCAACCCGGAUGAACAGUGUCCGCGACGGUUCGUCUUCGACUUUCCCCUAUAAAUAACGGAGGGGGGUUCACUUGUUUCCCACUACUCGUUUUCUUCGCUCCGACUGAUCGACUUUCUACGCAUCGACUUCCAGCUUCUUCGCUUCGACUUCAGCGCGCGUAAGGCUUCGACUUGAGCCUGGGAGGUGCAGCUUUCUGGGGUCCGACUUUUGUCGUCGGGCUCUUCUGAAGUUGCACCGGGUUCGACUUCCUUGGGGUCCGACUUUUUUGAAAGUUGGUCCUUUUCGAAGUUGUUCCCCUUUGAACUGUGGUCCGACUUUAUGAAGUUUGACGCCUUGUCAUCGACUUUCCAAAGUUGGAUCCAUUUUUACUGGGAUCGACUUCCACGAGCAUAGCCUUUGUGCUCCCGAAGUGAUUCCCUUGGUUCGAAUUUUCUGGGGUCGACUUCCUGAGCCCCUUGUCUCUUGAAGGCCGAAUUCCCUGGGAUCGACUUCUGAGGUCGACUUCUCUGGGAUCGACUUAUGAGGUCGACUUCCCUUAUGCUGCUAGUUCGAUUCCCUGAAAUCUGGAUCGACUUUUCCUUGGGAUUGACUUUUGCCAUAACUUAGGCUAACUACUAUGUUCCUCGUGCAGGUUGUUAUAAUGUCUUCUGAUAAGAACUCGCAGAAAGACCUUCCUCCCAAUGAGGAGCGGGCUAUUAUUGUUAGCCCUCAGGCUCAGACUGCUCCUGCCGUAGUUGAGUCUAUUCCUGCCGUGGUUCAGACUACUCCUGCCGUGGUCGAGCCUAGAGUUGAUUCGCCUUCCUCCUCUCCUGUUGGAAGUAAGCGAAAAACUCUUUCUCGUCGUACGCGCAAGCCUGUACCUAGUAAGNNNNNNNNNNNNNNNNNNNNNNNNNNNNNNNNNNNNNNNNNNNNNNNNNNNNNNNNNNNNNNNNNNNNNNNNNNNNNNNNNNNNNNNNNNNNNNNNNNNNNNCGGUUCGGGGAGCUCGAGUUCUUCCUCCUGCAGCUCCUCUUCUCCUGAGCGGGAUGUAGAAAUUGGAGGCAUCCCUCCUUCUACCGCUAGGACUCCUCCUUCUACAAUUAUUUUGUCUACUAUUCUUAAGGAGGUUCCUAUUGUGGAGGAGCCAUCCGUGGCUACAGACGGUUCUGCUCAACUUCCUCCCGAAGUCUGUAGUCAGAACGUUCAUACUUUAGAGGACUCCCUUUUAAGUUACCCUCCUGAGACGGAGGAGAAGUACCCCUUUCCUUCUCCUCUUGAAGAGAAAAGCGC
rnacentral:lncRNA from 1 species